rnacentral:rRNA from 1 species
AUUGAACGCUGGCGGCAGGCCUAACACAUGCAAGUCGAGCGGAUGAGGAAAGCUUGCUUUUCGAUUCAGCGGCGGACGGGUGAGUAAUGCCUAGGAAUCUGCCUGUUAGUGGGGGAUAACUCGGGGAAACUCGGGCUAAUACCGCAUACGUCCUACGGGAGAAAGUGGGGGAUCUUCGGACCUUACGCUAACAGAUGAGCCUAGGUCGGAUUAGCUAGUAGGUGAGGUAAUGGCUCACCUAGGCGACGAUCCGUAACUGGUCUGAGAGGAUGAUCAGUCACACUGGAACUGAGACACGGUCCAGACUCCUACGGGAGGCAGCAGUGGGGAAUAUUGGACAAUGGGCGAAAGCCUGAUCCAGCCAUGCCGCGUGUGUGAAGAAGGUCUUCGGAUUGUAAAGCACUUUAAGUUGGGAGGAAGGGUAUUCACCUAAUACGUGGGUACUUUGACGUUACCAACAGAAUAAGCACCGGCUAACUCUGUGCCAGCCGCCGCGGUAAUAC